rnacentral:rRNA from 1 species
GCUGGAAUCGCUAGUAAUCGCGGAUCAGAAUGCCGCGGUGAAUACGUUCCCGGGUCUUGUACACACCGCCCGUCACACCAUGGGAGUCGGGAAUGCCCGAAGCCGGUGGCCCAAUCGAAAGAAGGGAGCCGUCGAAGGCAGGCCGGAUGACUGGGGUGAAGUCGUAACAAGGUAAC